rnacentral:rRNA from 1 species
CCUACGGGUGGCUGCAGUGGGGAAUAUUGCACAAUGGGGGCAACCCUGAUGCAGCGACGCCGCGUGAGUGAAGAAGUAAUUCGUUAUGUAAAGCCCUAUCAGCAGGGAAGCAAAUGACGGUACCUGAGUCAGACGCCCCGGCUAACUACGUGCCAGAUGCCGCGGGAAUACGUAGGGGGCCAGCGUUAUCCGGAUUUACUGGGUGUAAAGGGAGCGUAGACGGCAGUGCAAGUGGGGAGUGAAAGGCGGGGGCUCAACCCCCGGACUGCUCUGGAAACUGUACGGCUGGAGUGCAGGAGAGGUAAGUGGAAUGCCUAGUGUAGCGGUGAAAUGCGUAGAUAUUAGGAGGAACACCAGUGGCGAAGGCGGCUUACUGGACUUUAACUGACGUUGAGGCUCGAAAGCGUGGGGAGCAAACAGGAUUAGAUACCCGUGUAGUC